GCGCCCGUAGCUCAACGGAUAGAGCAUCUGUCUUCGGAACAGGUGGUUGGGGGUUCGAAUCCCUCCGGGCGCGCCA
rnacentral:tRNA from 1 species